CUAUUGUAUAUUCAAUACUUCCUAUCUCAGUUUUCCUGGCCUACAUUAUAAUUAAAAUAAAUAUGUAAAAAUACAAAAUUUAUACCGUAAUCGAUACAAAAAGCUACAAAAUUAUUUUAAAUCGUAAAAGUUAUUCUAAGAAAGGAUGCUCAUGAGGAACCCUGAUCGAAAAAACUAACAUAAGUCACGAGUUGUUAAACUUUACGCGUAUAAAUAAAAAUCUUCCAUUAAUGUGCUAAUUAAAUAGAAAAUUGUGCACAGGAAUCUGCAACGAGGCGAUAAAACAACGAACGUAUAUUAAGCUGUUCGCUAUUCUUCGUCUUUCUCGUUUAACUAAUUUCCAUGCUGUGUGCAAUCGAUUAGAUCACCCGAUAUCAUGCGCAACAUCACGAGGCACUACGUUCGUUGGUUGACCCGAGUCUGUCGACAAUCAGACAGAAUCCAGGAAGAUGUCGCGAACGAUUAUGAUACUCGAAUCGGAAAGGCGAUUCUCACACGAUGCGUCCGGACCGUAAGUAAGUACAAACGAGCCGUAACUGCUCGACAAGCAUGUUCCAAGGCCGUCGAGCAAUUGGAUGCAAUUGCAUCCCGACAGAUAAGCAAGAAAUAAUACCGAUAAGCCAGUCAUCUGUUUCAUUCGUUACGCGGCUCGUGUUUUGCUAUUGGAUAACGGGGUAAUGCUUGCAAAAAGAAAGUCGAGUCAGAAGAGGAGACUUCUGUGUUUAUAUUCAAAAGGGCUUUAAGGGAAGGUAAAACUUGGAAAACUUGGACACUUGCUUACAAACGUAUUGCUGCUGCCAACGAAAGAUGGCAAAUGAAAAAUUAACUGGUGAGUGUCUACGUGACCAUGCGCACGUUUUUGGGACAGUGGAAGGGGAUAGCCCUCCAAGCGCAUGUUGCCUAAAAAAGGAACCAAUAAUCGGUUACUGUAAUCAAAUUAGAGCGCGUGACAUUUUCAUGCACCUUUCUAUUACUCAACUUUCUAUUGUAGAACUCGACUUUUUUUUUUUUAAACCGAAUAAUAAACAAAUUUUAACUCUA